rnacentral:rRNA from 1 species
GACGAACGCUGGCGGCGUGCUUAACACAUGCAAGUCGAGCGGUAAGGCCCUUUCGGGGGUACACGAGCGGCGAACGGGUGAGUAACACGUGGGUGACCUGCCCUCAGCUCUGGGAUAAGCCUGGGAAACCGGGUCUAAUACCGGAUAUGACUCCAUGACGCAUGUUGUGGGGUGGAAAGCCUUGUGCGGCUGAGGAUGGGCCCGCGGCCUAUCAGCUUGUUGGUGGGGUGAUGGCCUACCAAGGCGACGACGGGUAGCCGGCCUGAGAGGGCGGACCGGCCACACUGGGACUGAGACACGGCCCAGACUCCUACGGGAGGCAGCAGUGGGGAAUCUUGCGCAAUGGGCGAAAGCCUGACGCAGCGACGCCGCGUGAGGGAUGACGGCCU